rnacentral:rRNA from 1 species
CCUAGGGGAGGCAGCAGUGAGGAAUAUUGGUCAAUGGGCGCUAGCCUGAACCAGCCAAGUAGCGUGAAGGAUGACUGCCCUAUGGGUUGUAAACUUCUUUUAUAUGGGAAUAAAGUGCAGUAUGUAUACUGCUUUGCAUGUACCUUAUGAAUAAGGAUCGGCUAACGCCGUGCCAGCAGCCGCGGUAAUACGGAGGAUCCGAGCGUUAUCCGGAUUGAUUGGGUUUAAAGGGAGCGUAGGCGGGUUGUUAAGUCAGUUGUGAAAGUUUGCGGAUCAACCGUAAAAUUGCAGUUGAUACUGGCAUCCUUGAGUAUAGUAGAGGUAGGUGGAAUUCGUGGUGUAGCGGUGAAAUGCUUAGAGAUCACGAAGAAUUCCGAUGGCGAAGGCAGCCUGCUGGACUGUAACUGACGCUCAGGUACGAAAGCGUGGGUAUCGAACAGGAUUAGAUACCCCAGUAGUC